GUUCAGGUGGAUCACAUGAUUUACGCAUUUAAGCACGAAUUAGGUCAAAGAGGCUGAGCAUAACUUUUGCGGUAUGAACUGGUUUUAUCACAGUGGGUUUAUCAUUGGAUUAAGUAACUUGAAUUGACCUACUGACCUAUUAUCCUUAGAGGGAAUCCUGUUCUCUCUGGUAGAUCAUGUCUACUUCGUUUGGUCUCUGCGUCUUCGAGACUAUUUUAUGCGUGUCGUUUAUAUUGCUGGUAUUCGUAUCAGUAUGGGGUCAUACUGUCUACACUUGUCUACUCGGUGCUGUGCUAUAUGUCUGUUACUGGAUCAUACGCAAAGUAGGCAGAAACAGGGUUGACAUACAUGGAAAAUACGUUCUUAUUACGGGGUGUGAUACAGGCUUUGGAAACAGCCUUGCUAGAUUACUGGACAUCAAGGGACUGAACGUCAUCGCCGCGUGUCUCUCUGUGGAAAGUGACGGUGCCAAACAAUUGAAGACAACAGGAAGCAGGCGCAUGUGUGUUUUACAGCUUGACGUAACUUCAGACGAAAGUGUUGCUUCGUGUUUUCACACGGUGAAGACUCUAUGUCACAAAGAAGGAUUAUGGGCCUUGAUAAACAAUGCCGGGAUACUUUACACAGGGGAUGUGGAAGUACAGACAAUGGCUAUCUACAGGAGAGUUUCAGAAGUCAAUUUGUUUGGUAUGGUGCGAAUGUGCAAGGCGUUUCUGCCUCUUGUGAGGCAAAGAAAAGGGCGCGUAAUCAACGUAACCAGUGUCCGUGGUCUACUGGCAGGUCCUGCUCACUCAGCUUACGUCAUGAGUAAGUUUGGUGCAGAAGGAUUCACAGACUGUUUAAGGCUGGAGAUGAGGAGGUUCGGGGUCAAGGUCAUCCUUAUACAACCCGGCAGUUUUGGGCUCAGCACUGGUUUAUUUAGUGUGGAGAAUGUUCGGCGCCAAAAGGUGGCGUACCAGCAGUUAAUAGACUCUGUAGAUGAUGAAAUACGGGCGGCAUAUGGGCAGGACUAUUUGGAUACAUAUCUGCGCGUCCCAAAGAUGAACUCAAGGUCCUCUGACAAAGAUCUCAAGAGAGUUUUGGAUGCAUUCGAGGAUGCCAUAUUGAGCACUAAUCCAGACAGCCGAUACCUGGUGGAUGGAAUUCGCCAUUGGAUUGACGUAUUAUGUAUGAUGGCACGACUACGCAACGUUCUUCCGGUGUCCCUGAUGGAUGCUCUUUACCUCUGGCUCCAGCCAAUGCCAAAAGAAGCCUUCUAUAAAACUUAAUCGUGAAGUGCCGCCACAGUGGGCAUAUCCCAUACCCUAUUUCACAGGUGUCACACUGCGAAUGCUUAUGGUGUAGAAAUGGAAACCGGUUCCCUACACUAGAUCAUGUCGAGUUUGGUGGACAUACUUGGUGUGUGGGUCUUAGAGGCUUUGGAAACAGCCUUGCUAGAUUACUGGACAUCAAGGGACUGAACGUCAUCGCCGCGUGUCUCUCUGUGGAAAGUGACGGUGCCAAACAGUUGAAGGCAACAGGAAGCAGGCGCAUGUGUGUUAUACAGCUUGAC
rnacentral:misc_RNA from 1 species